rnacentral:rRNA from 1 species
CCGUGAGGGAAAGUUGAAAAGUACUUUGAAGAGAGAGUAAACAGUGCGUGAAACCGCUCAGAGGUAAACGGGUGGAGUUGAACUGCGUGCUUAGAGAAUUCAGCUGGUGAUUGUUUCAUGGUCUUGGCCAUCUUGGUUGGACUGCGGGGUCUGCGUAGCAGCGGGUUUUUGCCUUCGGGUGAGAAUGCGCGAUUCACUUAUCAAGUGAUGUGCGCCCUGUUUGUUCUUCGAAUCGGUUGCCAGUGCACUUUCUCAAAGCGUUCACUACGACCGGCAUUGCUGUCGGACUGUUCAUGGUUAAACCGGGUUGGCAUUGACCUAGCGGCUUUGCUGAGUCGGGAGGGCAGGUAACUUGUUGGUCUUCCUCCGGGUUGACUUUCGAGUGUAUUUAGCUGACCGUGACUGUUCUGUGCAGUGUGUCGGAGACUGCGGCUUGUGAUGUGUGCAUGUGCUGGUUAACGUCGAGAUGUCGGGUUCGGUUGCCAUGUUGCCUGUGAAAGCAGGCCUGGUGAUGGCUCGGGAUCGCACGGCGAGUUACAGCUAUUGUGACAUCAAUACAGGGCCGAUAGUCUGUGGUGUUGUGGUAGACUAUCCACCUGACCCGUCUUGAAACACGGACCAAGGAGAGUAACAUGUGCGCGAGUCAUUGGGCGUAACGAAACCCAAAGGCGCAGUGAAAGUAAAGGUUUGGCUCGUCCAGACUGAGGUGAGAUCUUGUCGUUCCUCACACAUGGUACCACCAAGUAUCGAGCGGCAGGCGCAUCACCGGCCCGUCCCAUGACGUAGACGUAGUUUCGUACUAUGCACCGUCGGGGCGGAGCAUGAGCGUACAUGUUGAGACCCGAAAGAUGGUGAACUAUACUUGCGCAGGUUGAAGCCAGAGGAAACUCUGGUGGAGGACCGCAGCGAUUCUGACGUGCAAAUCGAUCGUCAAACGUGAGUAUAGGGGCGA